rnacentral:rRNA from 1 species
UUGUUGCAGUUAAAAAGCUCGUAGUUGAAUUUCGGGGUUAGUAGGUUGGUCAUGCCUCUGGUAUGUACUGGUCUCACUGAUUCCUCCUUCCUGAUGAGCCGUAAUGCCAUUAAUUUGGUGUUGCGGGGAAUUUGGACUGUUACUUUGAAAAAAUUAGAGUGUUUAAAGCAAGCUAACGCUUGAAUACAUUAGCAUGGAAUAAUGAAAUAGGACGUUCGAUCCUAUUUUGUUGGUUUCUAGGAUUGACGUAAUGAUUAAUAGGGAUAGUUGGGGGCAUUAGUAUUCAAUUGUCAGAGGUGAAAUUCUUGGAUUUAUUGAAGACUAACUACUGCGAAAGCAUUUGCCAAGGAUGUUUUCAUUAAUCAAGAACGAAAGUUAGGGGAUCGAAGACGAUCAGAUACCGUCGUAGUCUUAACCAUAAACUAUGCCGACUAGGGAUCGGAUGAUGUUA